rnacentral:lncRNA from 1 species
UUGAAUUGAACUAAGAAAUUAGUCACUCAUACUCAUGGCUUACAAUCACUAAAACAAAAGAAUAAAGAAAGAUACUCAAAAUAUAUGAUGAACUAAGUAAAAACCUUAAUAUCUUGCUUCUUCCAAAAUCACUCAUUUUAUAGCCUCAAAGACAACUGAAAAUCCCCAAUUAAUUAGGGAUUUUGAAAGCAAUCAAUUUAAAAUCUUCUCGUUCUGAUUUUUCUCUCCCUUUUUUUAGCCCUUCUCUUUUUGAAUCUCUCUCUGAUUCUCCAACAAACUUGAAGAUCUCUUUCUCAACUUUCCAACGAGCUAUCAUUUCCAAAACGGAUACUUACAGCUAAAGAUACGGUAAAAACACCGAGGUAGGUCUUCAACAUACGUUACAACAAAACGAUCAACAUGUCUAUUGUUUUUAACACUCAAAACGACGUCAUUUCACUUAGUGGCCUUCAUAACAAUUGUAGAGCUGGCUGUUAAGGGUCAAAUGGGCCUGGGAUGAGUUUAUUUGGACAUGUAAAACUCCAUAUAUGAAUUAAGUACUGAAACCUGCUGUGUGUGCUCAUUCUAAACAGUUCUCCUGGAUUCAGAACCACUUUUGAUCAAUAUUGAGGCUGAACUGGAUUUUGAUCCUUCUUAGACAUUUGUAGAGUUUUGUUUUAUCUUUCUUAUGAAUGAAACAGAUUCCAGUUUGGAGGACUAUAACUUCAUAGAUUCUUGAAAAACCGAACAAAGGUCAAGAUAAUAAAAAUGCUGAAAAUUUCUUAAUUUAAUGAUAUUAUUCCAAAAUUAAUUAAGAUCAUGUCUAAUUGAUAAAAAUUGUCUAACCAACUAAGUUAAACUUAAAAAU